GCCCCUGCUCCUGGGCCUCGAUCUUCCUCGGUGACUUCAGGGGGCGGGUUCCGAGUGUCUUUAAAAAGCUUGCGGGAACCGCGAUCUUCGUGAUGUGGAUCUGGAGACCGACCUGGGGACAGCCGUCUGUGUUCUAGGAGUCGUUUGAUCCGGUUACGUCUGCCACGAGGACCCACGAGGACCACGAGGGCGGCCUCGUCAGCCACAGGCAGUGGCAGUCUCAUUUCCUCCUUCCCAACCCUGACACCUGUCACUUCAUCGUGCUUUUGGCUUGCACGUUUCUGGGACUUUGAGGGUUCCGUUAACCAGUGCGACUAGGGACAUCCUGACUUGCAGCUGAUCCUGGAGAGAUCGAGUCUUGGAUUUCUCUCUUACGUCUGAUAUUUCGAGAGAGUUUUUGGAGAAAACAAAUAUUUUAUUUUAGAGAGAGAGAGUAUGAGUGGGGCAGAGACGGAGAGAGAAUCCUAAGCAGGCUCCGCACUCAGGGCGGACCCUGACCUGGGGCUCAGUCCCACGACCCUGGCAUCAUGACCCGAGCCAACCUCAAGGGUCGGAGCCACCCAGGCGCCCCAGAAAUAGAUUUUACCAGUGGAGGAGGUUCUCUGAGAGUUUUCAGAAACUGUGAAAGGAGUGGAACUUUCCGCAGUCCCUCCCGGUGUCUGUCGAGGCCAUUCCCGGGGGGGGCUCUGCUCCUCUGGUCCCUUCGGGAGGCCCAGGAGGCCCCCGCGGACUGUCCAGGGCGAGCGUCUCUCUGGACCGUGUUGUCUGCACCCACAUUUUGUCACCGCUACUUUAGGCGCCUCUAGGGAAGACGGAACGCUGCGUGUGAAACUAUGCCCGCGCCUUGUCGUGUAGAAGUUGUGUUUCACGUUCACACGGGGGCUCCCUGGACCCCUUUCAUCACAGCAUUUGGUCACAGCGCACUCUCUGCAUGUGUACAGAAGAAAAUAAAAGCGGGGUAGGUGA